GUUUUGUUUUUUAAAUUGAAGGUUAAAGUUUUCAAAAAAAAAAACUUUGUUGGACUCUGGCUGAAACACAAAAUCAGUAUAUUUGGAAUCAUUUUGAAGCUUAACUUUUUCCUAGCCAGCCUUGUAUUCUAAUUGCUUGCAAAUGUGAGACUGAAUGGCCAAAAUGCCAUUUGUUUGUUUAUUGUCAGCUGCUUUUAUCAAAUUCCAGGCCAUUAUCCAGCAACACUAUUAAAAUGUUUGAACAGUUGGGUUUCAAACAUUUUCGUUUUGUGGAGUGGUGCUUAUCAAGUGGUACAGCGCUCUAAGCAAGUGAACACAAACAUAUUUAAGUGUAUUUUGUAUGAUUAGAUGUUACCAAUUCUGAUAUUUUAUUCAAAUGUCUAAAAAAAUAAGUUGACUUAUUCCCUUUACCAAAGGGCCAGAGACAAAUGGUUUCCUUUCAAGAGAAAUGACUGUUUUGAAGAAAAACUGUGUUGGUCUUAGCUCUUUUGUAAUUAAAUCUGGAUGUACCUCAAAAGACUCUUUAAGACUGUGGUGUUAAAAGGCUUUCCUCUGGAGAAGGAGAAAAAAAAAAAUCAACUGGAACUUAAAAGCUUGAAAUUCCAUGACAAAACACAGAUGUCCAGGAUUGGAGGUUCAUGAAGUACAUGCAGUAGUUGGAGUGGAUGCACUUUCCAGUGUAGCUGCCACCAUGGACUCCAGGCUCCCAGAUUUUCAAGAACUAGACCUGUAACCCAGAAGAGCUUGUCAAGAUAUGACAGGAACUCUGGAGGUGGAUGUUUUUAAUUCAGUUUUGGAACUGUUGAUCUUGCCGUGAGUAAAGAGAGACGACUCACCAAGCACUGCCACCAGCACUGUUACUGGGAACUUGAAGACCCAAGUUUCUGUCCAGACCCUCAGUGCAAACUGACAACACUCCAUCCAAAGUGAACUACGUCCCGUGCCUCCUGAUUGCUGAAUGUUCACCUGGACCCUCCAAUGACCUUCCUUCUGCUACUCCAUCAGCCUACAGACCUGGUACUUGGAUUUUUGUCCAUGGUGAUUCCUACCACCUUACUACUGAAGAAGACACCAUUCCAGUGGACCACUGUGACCCAAGAAGCAUUCAGCCAUCAUGAUGUGGCCUUUACCUCCACUCCUGUCCUACUCUGCCCAGAUUCAGCACAGCCCUUUAUAGUGCAGUCAAGAGUCUUCAAGCCAAAUAACUGAAGCUAUUUUAUCACAACAAAGGCCAAGUUUAUUCCAUAAAUGUACAGUUCAUUUCUGCAGUUUAUUCUUCAGAGACACAUAAUAAACUUGGACCAGGGGAUUUUGUUUUGUUUAUAUUGUCAACACUGUCUGAAGAAAGGCAUCUCUGAGAACAGCAUUGGACCCUACUCCACAAUCUCAAAUGAUUGAAGUUUCAUGAACUGCCUAGGAUCCUGUCAAGGCCACUGGACUCUUGUUCUUUUCCUACUUCAAAUCUGUAGCUGUCUACUAAAUGACAAAGCAGAUAUUCUGACCCAUUGGGAUCAAAACCAAGGCAUAUUGAAUUCCUCAUAGUAUCAUCUUCGGGUUACUCAGGAACCAAAACUUUUCACACCAAUUUAAGAAAUUCUACUGAGGAAUCCCUUUACCUAACCAUCUCACAAGGCUUCAACCAGAUUCCUGAAAAGGCCUCUUGAUAUAUCAAGAUAGAAUCUACAUGCAUUUUGUGAACAACUUAUCACUGAUUUUCCAAAGGCUUUGUGCUCAUGAAGUUCUUUGAAGGAAAGCUGUGUGGAAGUCCAGAGUAAAGUGAAGCUGCUCUGGAUGAAGUAGUGAAGUGGGAGUUGAAUUCUACAACCUGCCACAACCAUCUUUCUUUACCACCAUGGUGAUGCCUAAAGGGACUUCCUUAUAUAAAGUUCUUCAGAAAAUCCUGCUUGAAACCACUGCCCUAGAUGUGUUUGACCUGAAUGGCAUUCUCUUUUUAUGUACUUUCACCUCAAAACAAUUCAUAUUCAGUUGAUGCUCAACAUGUUUGGAGAUGCUUUAUGCAGAGAAUAAUGAUGAUACAGCAUUGUCUAAUGAAGUUUUAUUAAUAGCAUUCCAUCCAAGGUGGACUUCCUGAAGUUGGAUAUAACCAGAGAGCAAUUCAUAUGUAUCCUACACUGAAGAACACCAAUAAUUUUCAGCAACCUAUAGCUAGUGGUACUAGAAGUACGUGACUUGGAAAUCUAUGAGAGCUGGUAUUGAAGCUGAUGCCUCCUUAAGGCCAUUUUAGACCAAGUUGUUCUCUCCUCAUUAACUAUGAAGCAGAAUUGAAAUACAAUUUUUCCAGAAGGGACUUGCAACCUGGUUAUCAUUCAUUAUCUCAAGUUUCAAGUCAUGUUGAUGCAACCAGUAGUUUUUAAACUGCUCCAUGGUUUUUUGUGAUUUAAUACUUUUUCCAGGGCUUAAAAAACCAAAACUAAAUUUCUCCAACAUGUCUAUACUUGUCUAUUCAAAAGUAACUACUCACCACUAUAUGGAACAGAUGAUCCUGAAGACACUGAUCAUCCUUUAUGAUACUUGUGACUUAAAAUAUGGCUGGAAAUUUUCCUUCUACCCAGUGAAAUAUUUAAUGAUUAGUCUUCAUGCCUGAUACCAUCAACUGUAUGUGUGUGAUAGGCAAAGUUUGACAUAGGCAUUUGAUUCUAGCUUGCUAGUAAUUUCAAGUAGCAUGUUGUCAACCUGUUUGCUGGAAAACUAGAGUAACUUGGAAAAAAAUCUAUAAAUGGCAGCUAAGGAUUUUUUUCAGUAUUCCUCAGUUUCUGUCCUUGGGAUAUUUCAAUGGAAUUUUCACCUGUCUCUUCACUUAACAGAGUGACUGACUUUAUUCCUUACUAUGAAGUAUUCUUAAGACAUUAAGAUUACUUUUGUAGAAAGGAUAAAAUUCUUGACCAUCCAAAUCAUCAUAGUGAACAAGACUUCAAUUUGUGACCUGAGAAAAAUCUCAUUUCUCUGCUUCGUAGUCAAUUUAAGGGCCAAAUGCUAUCAGCUACUCUGAGUGCACCGGGUAAACGUUGGAACUGCCUUCUUUAUAUCCUUAUUUCUUAUCCUCUAAACUAAUCAUGGUUACAUGAUUCUCACCACAAAUCAGCAAAUCAGACUCAGAUCUGGUUAUUCUAGACUGCUCACAGUUAACAAAUCAAACUCUGGAUGACUUCUGCUUGUAUAUGCAACUACUAUUUGUAAAGAAAUUGCAAAUUCACUUUUCUAUUACCUCUACAUUGCUAGCUCUUUCUUUUGUGUUUGUAUUAAAAACAAAAAGCUACACUGUCAGCUAUUCCCUCCUGCCAUACUCAGUUAAAAGAAGAAUCAGGAAUCUAACCAGUGAAUGGAUAAAUAGAAAAAAACCAAAACUUAAGGCAAAAGCCUUAAUCUAGGGCCUGUUCUACUAUCUUCAUGUCUUGGAUUUCAUCUAAAUCAACAGUGCCACCCAACCAGUCUGAGGUCUUGACUUCCUUUUAAGAUGAUUCUUAGAGAUGGGCUGUAUUACAGAAGGUGAAGACUUGAUUACCAAAGAAAGUAGAGCCAACUAUGACAAACCUGGCUCUACGAUCCUAUUGCUCCCAGAUGUAGCAUAGACUCAUAACUAGAACCUCAAGUCUGCAUUGAGGAUAUAGCCUUCUAAGCUGACAGUUCUUGCACAGGUGAGCAAGAAAAUGAAAGCUGCUAUACUCAACUGGCCCUUUAAGAUCCAAAAAUAAUGUCUGGACUAAACUCUGUGGAGUACCCAGGACAAAAACUAAUUUACAGAGCUUCAUUGUUAAUCUGCCUGUUCUUCUAGAUUAUAGCUUAAUUAUUGGUAUGGCUGGCCCUGCUGAAGUAGUUUGUCUGUUUACCUGUCUUUAGCUCUUAACCUGCUUAUUUUGACUUGCUACUGCAAUUAGACUAACUGGCUUUGAGAAGACUACAUUCAGUUUCAGCCUCUCCUUUGCCCAAUUUCACCAAGGAAUUUUGAAUAAAAGGAACCCGUACCUCACCCCACCAGAACAGGAAGGACCGUGCUACAUAUUCCUUGACGAGCAACUUUUAAGUAGAGAAGUAGAGACCAACCUGCUUAUUUUCAACGCCUGAAACAUCCAUUUAAUCUAAUAGGAGUAUAGAAGGUUGACAGCUUAGUAUACUGCUUAACUCAGAAACAAAUAUGAUUGGCCCAGAAAUUGUAAGUUCACCUUGACAAGAGACAGCAACACCAGAAGUUUACUGCUGAACUUAAUUUGACACUAACUCGAAUAGCCUCACAGACCUGCUUGCCAAGUAGGAGGCUGGUUUUCCUGCUUCAUAUCACCAUUGUAGUGGGGCUCUUAUAAUACUGACUUGAAUGGGGACCUUAUGGUGAAUCCUAGACUAUGAUGCUAAUGGAAAUUGUCUAUUCAAGUGGAUUGUAGGUUUCCUGAGGACAGAACAGACAUCACUCCUGGUGAUUUUUAUAACUUGAUUACCAAGGAAGAAAUACCAGCUGCUAAAAGUCAACUUUAUGGGCAAAGAUUAAGCUCUCUAUAUCUGGUCUUAUCCUGGAUGCUAGUUUUUUAUUGCCCAAUGACCAUUUCCAUCUCACUCUUAACUUCCUGAUUUUUUUUUGGAACCAUCUCUUCCGAUUUUCAGUCCUUGUGAUUUAGACAGUCUUUUUAUGCUGGACAUUUUGUUGCAACCUCAUCAAUCACAGCAAAGUCCCAUCUUGACUCUAGUGAUUAGUUCAGGAAUGGAUGCAUGAUUCAAGUUUGUCCAAUAAUAAUCAACCCUAGGUGUUAUCUCAGUUGUGGAGAAGUUCUCUUAGAUGCUUUAGCUUUGUAGGAGAAAACUCAUACCAACAGGGCCUACCUACUAUGUUGAAUGAGCCAGGCAGAAAAUGAAGCCAAUACAGAGGGAAAUGGAGCCAAAAGAGGAAGAGACUUGAGUUCUGAUGACCACAUUUAUGCCCCUGUAUCCAACUGUGCCUGAAGCUAAUAGUACAUCACCUGGACUUUUCAGUUAUGUGAACCAAUAAAUUCCCUUUUUUGUUUAAGUUA
ensembl:processed_transcript